rnacentral:hammerhead_ribozyme from 1 species
AUCCAGUUGACGAGUCCCAAUAAAUAGGAUGAAACACGCGUCCUGGAU